UGGGGAAUUUUGCACAAUGGGGGAAACCCUGAUGCAGCGACGCCGCGUGAUUUAGAAGGCCUUCGGGUUGUAAAAAUCUUUUUUACGGGAUGAAAAUGACAGUACCGUAAGAAUAAGGUCCGGCUAAAUACGUGCCAGCAGCCGCGGUAAUACGUAUGGACCGAGCGUUGUCCGGAAUCAUUGGGCGUAAAGGGUACGUAGGCGGCCUAGUAAGUUAGAAGUGAAAUAAUAUAGCUCAACUAUAUAAAGCUUUUAAAACUGCUAGGCUUGAGAGAUGGAAAGGAAAGUGGAAUUCCUAGUGUAGCGGUGAAAUGCGCAGAUAUUAGGAAGAAUACCGGUGGCGAAGGCGACUUUCUGGUCAUCAUCUGACGCUGAGGUACGAAAGCGUGGGUAGCAAACAGG
rnacentral:rRNA from 1 species